rnacentral:rRNA from 1 species
AUGAUGAAUACAAACCCAAUUCAUUGGAGUAGGGCUUACAUGAAGCUGGGAAGCUACUGUGAUUCAGUUGACAAUAAUAUGUGUGAGUUAUUCGACAACUGGAUUAUGGAAUCAAGAUAUCUACCUAUUAUAUCUAUGCUGGAGUGGAUAAGAUGCAAAAUUAUGGUGAGGAUACAAGAAUGCAUUACCAAGUGUUUGAAAUGGUCAGGAAUCAUAUGCCCAAACAUAUUUAAAAAACUGAAGCAGAAUAUAACAAGAUCUGGAAAUUGCCAUGUGCUAUGGAAUGGAAAAGAUGGGUGUAACACCCACGAUGCGGCUAUAUCUCCCACGUGUCGGAGCACGACUUAG